rnacentral:rRNA from 1 species
AUAAGAGCGCAUGGUGGAUGCCUUGGCUCUGAGAGGCGAUGAAGGACGUGGUAAGCUGCGAUAAGCUGCAGGGAUCGGCACACACGAUUUGAUCUGCAGAUUUCCGAAUGGGGCAACCUGCUAUAUUAAAGAUAUAGCAUCAUCUUUGUUGAUGAAGCAAACCCAGGGAACUGAAACAUCUAAGUACCUGGAGGAAGAGAAAACAAAAGUGAUUCCGCAAGUAGUGGCGAGCGAACGCGGAAAAGCCCAAACCAUCAAAGUUUCGGCCUUGAUGGGGUUGUAGGACUAUAAUAUGGAAUGAGAUUUUGUAGUAGAAUGAUCUGGAAAGAUCAAUCAUAGAAGGUGAAAAUCCUGUAUACGAAACAUAAUUUCUACCUAAUAGUAUCCUGAGUAGGGCGGGGCACGUGAAAUCCUGUCUGAAUCUGCCGGGACCAUCCGGUAAGGCUAAAUACUCCUCAGAGACCGAUAGCGAACCAGUACCGUGAGGGAAAGGUGAAAAGUACUUCGAGUAGAAGGGUGAAAUAGAACCUGAAACCAUGCGCUUACAAGCGGUCGGAGCCCUUUCGUGGGGUGACGGCGUGCCUUUUGCAUAAUGAACCUACGAGUUAAUCCCUCUGGCAAGGUUAAGCAGUUCAGCUGUGAAGUCGAAGCGAAAGCGAGUCUUAAUAGGGCGUACAGUCAGUGGGAUUAGACGCGAAACCGAGUGAUCUACCCAUGGGCAGGUUGAAGCUGUGGUAAUACACAGUGGAGGACCGAACCGGUUGACGUUGAAAAGUCUUCGGAUGACCUGUGGGUAGGGGUGAAAGGCUAAUCAAACUCGGAGAUAGCUCGUACUCCCCGAAAUGCAUUUAGGUGCAGCAUUGUGUUAAGUAUUAUAGAGGUAGAGCUACUGAUUGGAUGCGGGGGUUUCACCGCCUACCAAUUCCUGACAAACUCCGAAUGCUAUAAUAUGUUUCACAGUAGUGAGGGCAUGGGUGCUAAGGUCCAUGUCCGAGAGGGAAAGAACCCAGACCAACAGCUAAGGCCCCUAAGUAUAUGCUAAGUUGACCAAACGAGGUUCGGUUGCACAGACAGCUAGGAUGUUAGCUUGGAAGCAGCUAUUCAUUUAAAGAGUGCGUAACAGCUCACUAGUCGAGCGACCGAGCGUGGAUAAUAAUCGGGCAUAAGCUAUAUCGCCGAAGCUAUGGGAUCGAAAGGUCGGUAGGGGAGCAUUGUAAAUGAUGUAGAAGCCGUUUUGUGAAGAGCGGUGGAGUUUUUACAAAAGAAAAUGUAGGUAUAAGUAACGAUAAUGCGGAUGAGAAAUCCGCACACCGAAAGACCAAGGUUUCCUCAGCUAUGUUAAUCAGCUGAGGGUUAGUCGGGACCUAAGGCGAAACCGAAAGGUAUAGUCGAUGGACAAGCGGUUAAUAUUCCGCUACUUGCUUUUAUUGCGAUGGGGUGACGAAGUAAUGAAAUCGUCGCGUGCGGACGGAAGUGCACGUUGAAGUAAUCGGGUAUAAUGUAUAUAGGUAAAUCCGUAUGUAUUGCUCAGUUACGAUAGUACCACAAGCCUUUGGGUGCGUGGAUAGUACGACUAAAGACUUCCAAGAAAAACCUCUAAGCUUCAGAUAUAAGCAACUCGUACCAAAACCGACACAGGUGGUCGAGGAGAGAAUCCUAAGGUGCUCGAGUGAAUCACGGCUAAGGAACUAGGCAAAAUCGACCUGUAACUUCGGGAGAAAGGUCGCCUUCCAAAAGGAAGGCUGCAGUAAAGAGAUCCAGGCGACUGUUUAUCAAAAACACAGGACUCUGCUAAAUCGAAAGAUGAUGUAUAGGGUCUGACACCUGCCCGGUGCUGGAAGGUUAAGGAAGAGAGUCAGCUUUCGAGCGAAGCUCUUGACUGAAGCCCCAGUAAACGGCGGCCGUAACUAUAACGGUCCUAAGGUAGCGAAAUUCCUUGUCGGGUAAGUUCCGACCUGCACGAAUGGUGUAACGAUCUGGAUACUGUCUCGGCCGUGAGCUCGGUGAAAUUGUAGUAUCGGUGAAGAUGCCGAUUACUCGCAAUGGGACGAAAAGACCCUGUGAACCUUUACUAUAGCUUCGUAUUGACUUUGGAUAAACAAUGUGUAGGAUAGGUGGGAGCCUUUGAAGCAUCAUCGCCAGGUGAUGUGGAGUCGUCCUUGAAAUACCACCCUUUGUUUGUCUGAAGCCUAACUCGGUAACGAGAACAGUGCGUGGUGGGUAGUUUGACUGGGGUGGUCGCCUCCAAAAAAGUAACGGAGGCUUUCAAAGGUACCCUCAGCACGCUUGGUAACCGUGCAUAGAGUGUAAUAGCAUAAGGGUGCUUGACUGUGAGACCCACAAGUCGAUCAGGUACGAAAGUAGGAUAUAGUGAUCCGGUGGUUCCGGAUGGAAGGGCCAUCGCUCAAAGGAUAAAAGGUACUCCGGGGAUAACAGGCUAGUCUCCCCCAAGAGCUCAUAUCGACGGGGAGGUUCGGCACCUCGAUGUCGGCUCGUCACAUCCUGGGGCUGGAGAAGGUCCCAAGGGUUGGGCUGUUCGCCCAUUAAAGUGGCACGCGAGCUGGGUUCAGAACGUCGUGAGACAGUUCGGUUUCUAUCUAUUGCGAGCGUUAGAAGCUUGAGUGGAGCUAACUCUAGUACGAGAGGACCGAGUUGGAUGAACCUCUGGUGUAUCAGUUGUGUUGCCAAGUGCAUCGCUGAGUAGCUAUGUUCGGAUGAGAUAAGCACUGAAAGCAUAUAAGUGCGAAGCUCACCACAAGAUGAGGCUUCUUUAUAAGAGACGUUGAAGAUCACGACGUUGAUAGGCUAUAGGUGUAAAGACAGUAAUGUCAUAGCCAAGUAGUACUAAUCUCUCAUAAGUUUCUGCU